rnacentral:rRNA from 1 species
CACCGCGGUUAUACGAGAGGGCCCCAGUUGAUAGAGCUCGGCGUAAAGGGUGGUUAAUGGAGCUUUUACUAAAGCCGAACACCUCUAAGGCUGUCAUAAGCUUCUAGAGACAGGAAGCCCUUCCACGAAAGUGGCUUUAACCCAGAUGACCCCACUAAAGCUAGGGCA